rnacentral:lncRNA from 1 species
AAUCGGGUCGGGUCAACCCACAUGGGUAACCCGUUUUCUUCCAACAGCAAGAUAGCAGAGCACUUUGUUUUCUUAAUGUCAAGAAGUCAAGGUUUUCUUUUGUUCGAAACUAUAGCGGAAUUGAUCUUCAAUGGAUGCAUCCUGGGCUUAGUUUCAACUUACCAAUCAAUAUCAAUCAAUCAACCAAAACUCCAACCCACAACUUUAUUCACUUAUGGUUGCUUUCUUUCUUUCUCACCCACAAAGGGUUGACAAGGAUAUGAUGGUGAUUUGCAAGCCACAAAGACAAAUAAAAGACAAAAGAAGGCAAGAGCUCGAAGGAGAUGACAAGAGGGCAGCCUUGGUUCUUUCUUCUAAAUAAGGGCAAAACACAUGGAUACUACACAAUGAGAAUGGAUAUAUAGACUUAGGUUACACUAACAAUUGGGCCAAGGCACAAGAUAAUGGACCAAAAUACAAGAAAGUCAUCCUAUAAGUGAAUUUAGACCAAAACAACAUAAACACAAUUAAGUUGUUAUUAGUGGCCCAUGUUAUUUUCAGGUCAAGGAUAUGAAUCGAUCGAUUGAUAAAUAUUUCACCCAUCAAUCGAGGCCUAUGAAAUAUGAUUUGAUAUUGUUUAAUAUCAUCAUCCAGGAUUUAUUGGGUAUCAAAAACCAACAGAAUCAUUUUGAAUUUUAAUCUAUCUUUAUGCAAUGAAGUGGGAUGGGAUCUUAUAAAUCAGUAUAGAAUGCCAACUCAUUUUUUGUGAUUUAACAAGAACAAAUGCUUAAUCCUGUACAAGACUAUCGUUUCUAAAGCUCAAUAGCUCAGUGAACAUUGUUGCGUAUGAAACUUUCCAAGAAAACAUAUAUUAAACUAAGAGCAAUGCAAGAAUAAAGAAAAACAUUCAAGAUCUGCUUAGAAUAACUAAAGAGAAACAUUGUCUUGUACUGCUGCUUACACUAGAACUCAGUAGGAUAGGGCUGAAUCAGUAUUUUGUAACAUUCAUUCAUCGUACAGACAAUCAUAUAAAUUCAAACUCUAUUAUGAUUCAGGAUAUAAUGAGCUCUAUAUCAUCCUUAAAUUUAAUAGUAAUUUGAGUUACCAUACAUUGUUGCGAGUUUCAAACAUUUAGAAUCAGUUCCCCUUGAGAUCGUUGCCUGCAAUAAUAUUUACACAGUUAAACAACUGAAUAAUCAACUAUAAAUUUCUCUUAGUAGUUCAUUUGACUGUCCCCAGCAAUGUAUCAGUAAUGCAUUUCAAAGAAAGGUAGAAGCUUCCUUUUUAACGAAACAACCCAAGGUCAAUUCCUAGUAACUUACUUGAUGAGUCUUUCUACACUAAGCCUCUAUUUGAAUACAAUUUAUAAUUUGGUUUACAAAUUUCAAAAUCAAAGUUAGAUAUUAGUUUUAACCAAACAUUCAUAAUUACUACACGUUAUUACCCACAUAUCGAUUAGUUUCCUUUUAUCAAUUCCGAUGGAUGAGUAAUGCAUUUCGAAGGAAGGUAGAAGCUUCAUUUUUAACGAAACAUUCCAAGACCAGUUCCUAUCAGCUUAC